rnacentral:rRNA from 1 species
ACUCAAAUGAAUUGACGGGGACCCGCACAAGCAGUGGAGCAUGUGGUUUAAUUCGAUGCAACGCGAAGAACCUUACCCAGGCUUGACAUGCAGUAGACAGCGCCAGAGAUGGCGUCUUCCUUCGGGACUGCUGCACAGGUGCUGCAUGGCUGUCGUCAGCUCGUGCCGUGAGGUGUUGGGUUAAGUCCCGCAACGAGCGCAACCCUUAUCGUUAGUUGCCAACAUUUUAGGUGGGAACUCUAACGAGACUGCCUGGGUUAACCAGGAGGAAGGUGAGGAUGACGUCAAGUCCGCAUGGCCCUUAUGUCUGGGGCUACACACGUGCUACAAUGGCCGGUACAAUAGGCAGCGAAACCGUGAGGUGGAGCAAAUCCCAAAAGCCGGCCCCAGUUCAGAUUGUAGUCUGCAACUCGACUACAUGAAGAUGGAAUUGCUAGUAAUGGCGAAUCAGCUACAUCGCCGUGAAUACGUUCCCGGGUCUUGUACACACCGCCCGU